UGGUCCGUAGCUCAAUGGCAGAGCGCCCGACUGUUAAUCGGGUGGUUGAAGGUUCGAGUCCUUCCGGUCCAG
rnacentral:tRNA from 1 species